rnacentral:rRNA from 1 species
UACAGAGGGGGCCAGCGUUAUUCGGAAUUAUUGGGCGUAAAGGGCGCGUAGGCGGUUCGAUAAGUCCCGUGUGAAAUCCCUCGGCUCAACUGAGGAACUGCACGGGAAACUGACGGGCUUGAGGGAUGCAGAGGAGAUUGGAAUUCCCGGUGUAGCGGUGAAAUGUGUAGAGAUCGGGAGGAACACCGGUGGCGAAGGCGGGUCUCUGGGCAUCUCCUGACGCUGAGGCGCGAAAGCGUGGGGAGCAAACAGG